rnacentral:rRNA from 1 species
UACGUAGGGGGCAAGCGUUGUCCGGAAUUAUUGGGCGUAAAGAGCGCGUAGGCGGUCCGGUAAGUCGGUUGUGAAAGUCGGGGGCUCAACCCUCGGAUGCCGAUCGAUACUGUCGGGCUAGAGUCCGGAAGAGGCGAGUGGAAUUCCUGGUGCAGCGGUGAAAUGCGCAGAUAUCAGGAGGAACACCGGUGGCGAAGGCGGGUCUCUGGGCAGUAACUGACGCUGAGGAGCGAAAGCGUGGGGAGCGAACAGG